rnacentral:rRNA from 1 species
UACGGGGGGGGCAAGCGUUGUUCGGAAUUACUGGGCGUAAAGGGCUCGUAGGCGGCCAACUAAGUCAGACGUGAAAUCCCUCGGCUUAACCGGGGAACUGCGUCUGAUACUGGUUGGCUUGAGUGUGGGAGAGGGAUGCGGAAUUCCAGGUGUAGCGGUGAAAUGCGUAGAUAUCUGGAGGAACACCGGUGGCGAAGGCGGUUCUCUGGGCAUUACCUGACGCUGAGGAGCGAAAGUGUGGGGAGCGAACAGG